rnacentral:rRNA from 1 species
GCGGAGGCAGCAGUGGGGAAUCUUGCGCAAUGGGCGAAAGCCUGACGCAGCGACGCCGCGUGGGCGACGAAGGCCUUCGGGUUGUAAAGCCCUGUGGGGCGGGACGAACAAGGUCUGGUCGAAUAGGCCAGGCCCCUGACGGUACCGCCUUAGCAAGCACCGGCUAACUCUGUGCCAGCAGCCGCGGUAAGACAGAGGGUGCGAACGUUGCUCGGAAUUACUGGGCGUAAAGCGCGUGCAGGUGGCUCUGCACGUCCGGUGUGAAAGCCCGGGGCUCAACCCCGGAAGCGCGCUGGAUACGACAGAGCUUGAGGGCUGGAGAGGCUGGCGGAAUUCCCGGUGUAGAGGUGAAAUUCGUAGAUAUCGGGAGGAACACCGGUGGCGAAGGCGGCCAGCUGGACAGCACCUGACACUGAGACGCGAAAGCGUGGGUAGCAAACAGGAUUAGAUACCCUGGUAGC